CGGAAGUCCUUGUGUUGCACUCUCUUCUCGCGUCUCUGCCGACGAGAACAGAGGAGGGGGAAAGUGGGUUGUUGGCGAUCAGUGAAGGGAGAAGAGCCAUUGCUGUCGACACUGCUCUCCUUCUGCGAGUUGAGGGAAGAAGCAGGGCGACCGCGUGCAGCCCGCUGCUCUCCUCCUUCCGCUUCUCAUAGCGAGGAACAAAGGGAGAAGAGAACAUAUCUCUCAUCGCCCUUCCUCUUCUUCCUCUUCUCGUCUCUCUGCCGGCGGGAACAGAGGAGGGGUAAAUUGGGCUGUUGGCGAUCGGUGAAGGGAGAAGAGAACUCCGUUCAGGAUCGAAAACCUUCAGCGGCCUGGGAGAUCCUCUGCUCUCCACAGAGGAGCAGAGAGCGGAGAUCUGCUCACCCAAACACCCUAUAGGGCACGCCUUCUCUGGACCGAGAUCGGCGCUCGGUGAAGCGAGGAGAUCUCACCACCACUGCUGGGCGACGGCGGCGGAGACUCUUCCAGACUGCUAGCAACGGGAAGGCUGUGAUCGUCGACCUGCUGUGAUCGCACCCUUCCCUCUGCAGCCCCUCUGCUCUCCUUCUUCCUCUUCUCAAAGAAUCGAGGAGAAGAGGCACCGGCAAAGGAGGAGAGAUCGCACCAUCUGCUCUCCUCCUUCUUCCCCCUCCCCAAGAAUAGGGGAGAAGCAGCAGGCGACCAGUUGGGAGAGGAUUCAUCGGCGAAGGAGAGGAGAGAUCAGAAGAAGGCUGCUGCGAUCGCACCCUUCUUGUGGUCAGCGGUGCUCUGCUGGGGCCGGCGGUUCUGCACCCCCUGCUCUCCUCCUGUUCUACUCGGUAGAACAGAGGGUUUCUUUGGGGGCGGCACCUGCGUGCAGCCCUCUACUCUCCUUCUUCCCCUUCUCAUAAAGAGGAACAAAGGUGAGGUGGGCUGGGUGAUAGCGGUGGUGGCUGCAACGGGAAGGCUGGGAUCAUCGACCUGUGAUCUCCCUAUGCAGCCCCUCUUCCCAAGGAACAGGGAUCCGUGCAGCCCCUAGCUUGCCAUCUCAUCAGCGAAACAGAGAAGAAGCGAUAGUUCUGGCAGCUCCUCGUCUUCUCGGUUGAAAACAGGAGGAUUUCUUUGGGGGCGGCAAGUGUGCCCUUCUAGCGACAGAUCGGUUACUCCUAACGCUGCAAGGAUAUAACAGCGAUGAUCCCUUACCUCUCAAGUUGCUCCUCCGCUAUCUUGUGAGAUGCUCCUUCGAUGAAGCAGCAUCGAAACUUCUUUCCGGUGAGAUGCUCAUUCGAUGAAGCAGCAUCGAAACAUAUCGUGCUCUAGAUCGCGGCCUCUUGCUCCCAUUUCUAGUGACCCUCGACCUUGGACUAGCCUCUUCAAGGCUCCGGUUGGAAGUACAGAUCUCAGCUUGGAUUUCUUUGCUCGAGAAGUUUAGGUUGAUAAGAAGAUUACUGAUUCCGCAGAGCUGAUUGAGACAUGGCCUAUGACGAUUGUUGGCUAUGUGGUAGGUCUCAAAACAUCCUAUUUCCCACUAUCAUCAUUUAUCAAAACUAGAUGGGGAACAUCCCAUUAGUCCCACAUCGGAAGUGGAUAAUGUGUAUGAUUAGCUUAUAUAGACCUGAUGAGUGUAUGUAUGGCCUUGACAAGGACAUCAAGCUAAUUGAGUUUGGGGAUAUUGUAACAUCCCAUUAGUCCCACAUCGGAAGUGGGCAGCGCCUGAUGAGUGUACUACGUUAACUCCCGCAUCAUAAUAACCAACAAGGGGAGCAUAGAGUACUUGGAGUAUAUCAAUAGCGUAUAACAAUAAAGAUGAAUGUACUUGGAGUAUAUCAAUAGUGUAUAACAAUAAAGAUGAAUCCCAAAUAUAAUAUGGUUCAUCUA